UAUAUUGAUCCAAAGUAUAUUGUUUAGUGACAAGCUGUUCCCCUUUGAGUUUGAUAGGGGGUUAUUUAUGUCUAAGUCUAAAUCUAAAAAAUGUAUUUGUAUACACCUGGCAGAAGGAAAGAAACAGUUGAAUAAAUUUAGAUAAAAGAAAAUAAAACCAGAAAUAAAAUCAGUAUGAAUUAAUGCCAUAUAUUCAUAUGUUAUUGUUACAGGUGGGCAGCAAAUUCGUCACUAAUUUUCCAGCAGCCAAUGAAAUAAAAGAAAACAAGGAUUUAAAAGACUCAUUGAAUAAAAAGUGUACAGACUAAAGAUGAAGUGGUCAAAGGAUAAGGAGGUGAUAUCUAGAAGAUGUUGCAAGUGCCAGACUAUUUUAUGCUGCUGUAGAAAGCAAUAGCCAGAGUCCUGCAGAGCACAGAAGCAAGACUGUCUCCUCAGGUAAGCAGUAACAACUUCAUAUUUGUGUGGCACAUUUCACUUUUGUAACACUUUUGUAUAUUUCUUUUUUUCCCUUAUACCUUCACAGCACUGGUCUAAAAGUAUGUAGGUAGUUCUUUAAUUGUUACCUUAUAGAUGAAAAAAAGAGAAACCUCAGAGGGACUUACCUGAGCCCAAAGAGCUAAGAAGCAGGCCAGAACUCAAAAGAACUAUGCUUUUAAAAAUGACACUCUAUCAUGUCUUGAAAGUGCCUUGAAAGGAUCCCUCUGCCUCUAGUUUUCAAUCUGAAAUCUUAAGUUUGAUAAAAAUUUUACAUGCAGUGUUGCCUAUCCAAAAUUGCCCCUUUAUGGGACUUCAGAAUUUCCAUUAUCUUUGCUCUUUAUAUUUCCACUUAUCAUUGCUCCAAGAAAUUCUAAAAAUUCAGAUAAAAGUCCUUGCUUGAUUCUUUAAGGUUGUUUGAUAUUUGGAUCCAUUUGAAUGUUGACCAUAGCUGUCUAUUUUUAUAAUUUGUUUUUCACCAUGCAUAAACUACUAUCUUAACCUUGUUCUGUUUU
rnacentral:lncRNA from 1 species